rnacentral:rRNA from 1 species
UACGUAGGGUCCGAGCGUUGUCCGGAAUUAUUGGGCGUAAAGGGCUCGUAGGCGGUUUGUCGCGUCGGGAGUGAAAACACGGGGCUUAACCCCGUGCCUGCUUCCGAUACGGGCAGACUAGAGGUAUGCAGGGGAGAACGGAAUUCCUGGUGUAGCGGUGGAAUGCGCAGAUAUCAGGAGGAACACCGGUGGCGAAGGCGGGUCUCUGGGCCGAUACUGACGCUGAGGAGCGAAAGCGUGGGGAGCGAACAGG